rnacentral:rRNA from 1 species
UUCAUAUGUUCGCCAGUGAGGAUGAACCUGCGGAAGGAUCAUUAUUGCAAUCUAGAGUUGGUUGUCGCUGGCCCCAGAGCAUGUGCACGCCUUCUCUUCUUCAUCCACACACACCUGUGCACUUGUGAGACGGAGGAUUGAAAAGUCCUCCGCCUACUUAACCACACAAACUCAUCGUACUUAAACUGAAUGUAAUUGAUGUAACGCAUCAUUAGAACAAAGUUUCAACAACGGAUCUCUUGGCUCUCGCAUCGAUGAAGAACGCAGCGAAAUGCGAUAAGUAAUGUGAAUUGCAGAAUUCAGUGAAUCAUCGAAUUUUUGAACGCAUCUUGCGCUCCUUGGUAUUCCUUGGAGCAUGCCUGUUUGAGUAUCAUGGUAAAUCUCAAAGUAAAUUCAUUUGAUUGGGUUUGCUUUGGACUUGGAGGUCUUGCAGAUUUCACCGUCUGCUCCUCUUAAAUGCAUUAGCUGGAUCUCAGUAUGAUGCUUGGUUCCACUCGGCGUGAUAAGUAUCACUCGCUGAGGACACUGUAAAAGGUGGCCAGGAAAAUACAGAUCGAACCGCUUCUAAUAGUCUAUUGAGUUAGACAAUUACUUAAAGUUGGAUCUCAAAUCAGGUAGGACUACCCGCUGAACUUAAGCAUAUCAAAUAAGCGGAGGGAAAA